AGACACAAAAAGCCCGUGACAAAACUACAAACCACAGUAGACACCGAGGGAAGAGCAAGACCUUCAAGGCGAAGCCUCCAAGGAGGUAAACAACGACAGAAGCCGCUGCCGACGCCCACCCAACUGGGCUGGGUUUUCACCCGAAAGGGGAGGGAGUCCACAAGGCAACACCUCCAAGGAGGAAAACGGUGCCCGCAGGCGUCGAUAGCCUCUAAGAAGCCAGAGCCAGAAUGUUUAAAGUUAUCGUUGCUCGGCUCAUCGGAUGAACCCGAUACAGCAGCUCCGACUCCACCUAAACACAAAGACUCUAGCAAUGAAGAGGACAAGCACCCAGCUCAACACUCGGCACUACGACAGGUUUACACAGACACAGGGCACUUGAAACACGACGAGGCCCAAGAGCGCUGA
rnacentral:lncRNA from 1 species